rnacentral:lncRNA from 11 species
GGAUAAUGGGAGUUGUAGUACAACUAUUUUGGGUUUGGAGUAAGCGACACUCAUAGAGAGACACAAUCUGGCCUUACCUUUGUGCCAAAGGAAACAAGCUUCCCAUGCAGGUGAAAUGAAGACGAACAGGACAGGUGAGAGUCAGAACUCACCUGAGGCAGGAGAAGAGGCUUCCAGGUGUUGGCCUUCCUUGGGGAGGGAAGGCUCUUUUCCUCUGUCCGUCAAGGAGGCCUCGGCUUAAACAGAGCAAUGCUCCCCGGAGUAAAUUGCGAGUACAAAUGUGGGCGGCAAGUCACUUCCUGGUUGCAUCUCUCUUUGAGCCGUUCCUGCCAAGACACCUCCCCUGUGUCUCCUCAGCCCUGGCUCCUGCGAAGUUGUACAGGCUUGGUGUAGCUCCACCCUGAGUUACCCUGAUGAAGUAAAUGAUGGCAAACAGCUUUUGGUCUUUGGAUUCUGCAGCAAUUAAAGUAAGUUGAGGACAAAGAGGAAGAAGAG